rnacentral:lncRNA from 1 species
AAUUCUAGAGCAGUGCUGUCCAACAGAACUUUGACAAUGGACACGUUCUAUAUCUGUGCUGUCCAACAUGGUAACUAGUAACCACUGGCUACUGACUACUUGAAAUGUGAAUAGCUUGACUGAGGAACUCAAUUUUAAAUUUUAUAUUUUAAUUUAAACAGCCACAAGUAUCUAGUGACUACACUGUGAAAUAGGACAGCUCAAGAGGAAAAAUAAGCCAAGACAUUCCUUUGGCAAACCGUGGGAAAACCUUUUUCUUUAAGUAAGAGAUACUCCAAAAUCUCCAAAACCUUCUUGGCCAACUCAAUAUCUAGAUAUGACUAACUUGGGAAGAUUAGUACAGCGUUGGCAGACAAAAUCCUCGGUAGGCAUGUUCUCCAGAGUUUUAUCAGUAAGAAUCAGCAAUGUUAAGAACCUUUUAUUCAGAAGGUCUAUAUAGACACAUGCAGACAACAGAAAUGGUUGGGUUUGUGUCAAAAAGAAGGAAUCUCACAGAUAUUCAAGUUUGCAAGGCCUUUGGGUUCCCACAAAAAUUCUCCCUCAAAUUAACUGGAAGUCUUCAACUAAGGAUACUUUUACUUCUACAAAAUGACUCCAGGGGAAAUCCUCCAGAAAUCACCAAAGCCUUCAGCUACAGAAAAUCAAAUGGAACCAAGACACUAACAAGAACUUCAAAGGAGACAAACAGUAAGAGAGACACACUGUUCCUCUGGGCAUCUGCAAUGGUGUAUUCCUCAAAUACAGACCAGAGCAUUUGCAGUAGAGUAAUGUACGUUUUACCACUGCGGUCUUUUUUAAAAAUAAUUUUCCAUGAAAGUACCUAACACUAGAGAAAUGAGAAUUGUAUUAGCCCUCUUCCAUUGACCACCAAUCUAGUGUAUAAUUUGAUGUGGCUAGUGGCAAACAUAAAAUUUAAUUGCAGUCUCAUAUUUUAUAUAAAUGUGUAAUAUCUACAUUUCACUUUUAUUUUGCCUUUCCUUUUGUAUUUAAAGUUAUGAAUUUUUUUAAUAGAAAAUAAUGUAU